UAGGGAAUCUUCGGCAAUGGACGAAAGUCUGACCGAGCAACGCCGCGUGAGUGAAGAAGGUUUUCGGAUCGUAAAACUCUGUUGUUAGAGAAGAACAAGGACGUUAGUAACUGAACGUCCCCUGACGGUAUCUAACCAGAAAGCCACGGCUAACUACGUGCCAGCAGCCGCGGUAAUACGUAGGUGGCAAGCGUUGUCCGGAUUUAUUGGGCGUAAAGCGAGCGCAGGCGGUUUCUUAAGUCUGAUGUGAAAGCCCCCGGCUCAACCGGGGAGGGUCAUUGGAAACUGGGAGACUUGAGUGCAGAAGAGGAGAGGGGAAUUCCAUGUGUAGCGGUGAAAUGCGUAGAUAUAUGGAGGAACACCAGUGGCGAAGGCGGCUCUCUGGUCUGUAACUGACGCUGAGGCUAGAAAGCGUGGGGAGCAAACAGG
rnacentral:rRNA from 1 species